rnacentral:rRNA from 1 species
GGUGGCUGUUUGCAUUGGAUUGAGACAACGUACAAACCUUAUCGAUAAACAAUUGGAGGGCAAGUCUGGUGCCAGCAGCCGCGGUAAUUCCAGCUCCAAUAGCGUAUAUUAACGUUGUUGCAGUUAAAAAGCUCGUAGUUGAAAUGAAGGGUAGUUGUGUAAUGAAUACAUUCGUGUAUUUUGUUAUUCUACUACCCUCCUUCUAAAUUCGAUAUAUGAGUAUUAAUUUACUUGUAUAUGGUUUUAGACCUUUACUGUGAGAAAAUUAGAGUGUUCAAAGCAGGCAUUUGCUUGAAUAUAUUAGCAUGGAAUAAUCAUGUAUGAUUUUCAUGAUGUAUUUGAUUGGUUUGGUUCAUGAGAAUAAGAUUAAAAGGGACAGUUGGGGGUAUUCAUAUUCAAUAGUCAGAGGUGAAAUUCUCGGAUUUAUGGAAGAUGAACAAGUGCGAAAGCAUUUACCAAGGAUGUUUUCAUUAAUCAAGAACGAAAGUUAGGGGAUCGAAGAGGAUUAGAUACCCCUAUAUUUUCUUAAAAAA